GAUGAACGUUGGCGGCGUGCCUAAUACAUGCAAGUCGAACGAAGACUGUAGUAAUACUGUCUUAGUGGCGAACGGGUGAGUAACGCGUGGGUGACCUGCCCCGAAGUGUGGGAUAACAGUUCGAAAGAACUGCUAAUACCGCAUAACAUCCAAGAGAUUAGAAGCUUUUGGAUUAAAGGAGUAAUUCGCUUCGGGAGGGGCCCGCGUCCCAUCAGCUAGUUGGUAAGGUAAUGGCUUACCAAGGCGAUGACGGGUAGGGGACCUGAGAGGGUGGCCCCCACAAUGGAACUGAAACACGGUCCAUACACCUACGGGUGGCAGCAGUAGGGAAUAUUAGUAAUGGGCGAAAGCCUGAACUAGCAACGCCGCGUGUGCGAAGAAGGCCUUCGGGUUGUAAAGCACUUUUUGAGAGGAUGAGGAAGGACGGUACUCUCAGAAUAAGUCUCGGCUAACUACGUG
rnacentral:rRNA from 1 species